rnacentral:tRNA from 1 species
GGGGCCGUGGUCUAGACGGUUAUGACGUCGCCUUGACAUGGCGAAGGUCCCCGGUUCGAAUCCGGGCGGCCCCA